CACGUAGGGUGCGAGCGUUGUCCGGAAUUAUUGGGCGUAAAGAGCUCGUAGGCGGUGUGUCGCGUCGGCCGUGAAAACCUGCAGCUUAACUGUGGGCUUGCGGUCGAUACGGGCAUCACUGGAGUUCGGCAGGGGAGACUGGAAUUCCUGGUGUAGCGGUGAAAUGCGCAGAUAUCAGGAGGAACACCGGUGGCGAAGGCGGGUCUCUGGGCCGGAUACUGACGCUGGAGGAGCGA
rnacentral:rRNA from 1 species